UACGAAGGGGGCUAGCGUUGCUCGGAAUCACUGGGCGUAAAGGGUGCGUAGGCGGGUUUUUAAGUCAGGGGUGAAAUCCUGGAGCUCAACUCCAGAACUGCCUUUGAUACUGAAGAUCUUGAGUCCGGGAGAGGUGAGUGGAACUGCGAGUGUAGAGGUGAAAUUCGUAGAUAUUCGGAAGAGCACCAGUGGCGAAGGCGGCUCACUGGACUGGUAUUGACGCUGAGGUGCGAAAGCGUGGGGAGCAAACAGG
rnacentral:rRNA from 1 species